CUAAGUUUGAUGGCGACCGGCGCACGGGUGAGUAACACGUAUCCAACCUGCCGAUGACUCGGGGAUAGCCUUUCGAAAGAAAGAUUAAUACCCGAUGGCAUAGUUCUUCCGCAUGGUAGAACUAUUAAAGAAUUUCGGUCAUCGAUGGGGAUGCGUUCCAUUAGGUUGUUGGCGGGGUAACGGCCCACCAAGCCUUCGAUGGAUAGGGGUUCUGAGAGGAAGGUCCCCCACCAUUGGAACUGAGACACGGUCCAAACUCCUACGGGAGGCAGCAUG
rnacentral:rRNA from 1 species